GAUGAACGCUGGCGGCGUGCCUAAUACAUGCAAGUCGAGCGAACGGACGAGAAGCUUGCUUUUCUGAUGUUAGCGGCGGACGGGUGAGUAACACGUGGAUAACCUACCUAUAAGACUGGGAUAACUUCGGGAAACCGGAGCUAAUACCGGAUAAUAUUUUGAACCGCAUGGUUCAAAAGUGAAAGACGGUCUUGCUGUCACUUAUAGAUGGAUCCGCGCUGCAUUAGUUAGUUGGUAAGGUAACGGCUUACCAAGGCAACGAUGCAUAGCCGACCUGAGAGGGUGAUCGGCCACACUGGAGCUGAGACGCGGUCCAGACUCCGACGGGAGGCAGCAGUAGGGAAUCUUCCGCAAUGGGCGAAAGCCUGACGGAGCAGCGCCGCGUGAGUGAUGAAGGUCUGCGGAUCGUAAAACUCUGUUAUUAGGGAAGAACAUAUGUGUAAGUAACUGUGCACAUCUUGACGGUACCUAAUCAGAAGGCCACGGCUAACUACGU
rnacentral:rRNA from 1 species